GACGUAGGAUGCGAGCGUUAUUCGGAUUUAUUGGGCGUAAAGCGUGCGUAGGCGGCUGCUUAAGUCUGGUGUUAAAGCUAGGGGCUCAACCCCUGUGAUGCACUGGAUACUGGGGCAGCUUGAGUGCGGUAGGGGAAGGUGGAAUUCCGAGUGUAGCGGUGAAAUGCGUAGAUAUUGAAGAUACCGGUGGCGAAGGCGACCUUCUGGGGCCCGCAACUGACGCUGAGGCACGAAAGCCUGGGGGAGCGAAACGGG
rnacentral:rRNA from 1 species